rnacentral:lncRNA from 10 species
AGAAAGAUACUCUGCUAGCUUCAGAUUCAUUAGUACUAGGAAAUGGAGAGAUAGGAGGUAUAAUGUAUUAGGGAAGCAAGGGAUUCAGAACCAGGUGCCCACUGACUCUGAGAAGCACUGGGUGCACAGGGGGUAGCAGACAAGCAAGAGGGUGGAAUUUGCAGCAUCUCAUCUUGGUGAGACAGUUGGAAGACUUUUCUGCCAAUUAUAGUGGUUAAACACUGACUCAACAUCAAACAACGGCA